UCCUGUUCACGGAGGGGGAGCCGCCGCCGCCCCUUCCCCUUCCAAAGCCCCGCCCCCCUCGCGCCGCCACGGUGACUUCACCGGCGUCUGAACCCAGGCGACGGCGGGCAAGAAGCAGCAGAAGACCACCAAGGCGCCGAGGGAGAAGAAGGCGAAGGCGGAGGACGAGAGUGCGUGGAGGAGCCCGACGAGGACGAGGGCGAGAUGGCCACCUUCGGGGAGCAGCAGAACGAGGAGGGGCACGCGGCGGUGGUGGCCAAGAGGCGAAUGGCGCGGCCGACCAAGAAGGCCAGGAAGCCAGAGUUCCUCGGCAAGCCCGUCCCCGCCGAUGAAGCCUGCGCCAACUGGCCGCAGCGUUACCAGUGUGCCUCGCCCAUGAGGUACGCCCUGGAUCCGUCGCCCAUCCAACUCGCCCUGACCCUUCUCCUUCCCGCGCCGGUCGGGCUAAUGUGGACGCGGUUGCGAGCUUGACGUGAGACCAGACGCAAGGAGGCAGCGUGGAGACAGUCCACCGCCGGUCGUCCACCACUGGAGCUUUUGCCCUGUGCGUCGUCUCCUUCAUGACCUCGUCUGCGUGCACGACUGCUUUCUGGAGGGCCGCCACUGGGAUCCACGGGGUGCGCCUCCACCCCCCUGCAGCUCCAUCACGUGUGAUGGGCGCCGAUCUGCAGGCUUGAGCUUGAGCUCCUUGGCGUCCUUCCUCCAGUUGGUGGCCCAGCUCGCCGGCGUUCUGAGUACGGCCUCGGCUACAAACUCUGACGGAUAACUGUACCAUACCCAUUCCAGUGGGGAGCACUGACUUUUCAUGCUGCUGAAUGCUUUGCCAUGAUGGCAGCUGCUUUUGUUGCUCUUGUGGAGACCUUGAAGCUCCCAAAAUGCAAACACCAGGAGAUAGGGAUGUCAAACUGAAACAAAGAAGCCCAUGACCGGUCUCAUAAUUUUACCAAUAGUACCGCCAUCAGCCGCAAAGACGGCAAGCUCAAGCAGGCCAAUGAAGGUUGAGGUUUCGACUUCUACUGGAAUACAGUUCUUCUAAUCUCUAUACAGGGCUCAAGAAAUAGAAAGCGACUCGUGCUUCAA